GCCGAGGUGGUGGAAUUGGCAGACACGCUACCUUGAGGUGGUAGUGGGAAUAAACUCCCGUGCAGGUUCAACUCCUGUCCUCGGCA
rnacentral:tRNA from 1 species